rnacentral:rRNA from 1 species
GACGUAGGGCGCGAGCGUUGUCCCGGAUUUAUUGGGCGUAAAGAGCUCGUAGGCGGCUUGUCGCGUCGACUGUGAAAUCCCGCGGCUCAACCGCGGGUCUGCAGUCGAUACGGGCAGGCUAGAGUUCGGUAGGGGAGACUGGAAUUCCUGGUGUAGCGGUGAAAUGCGCAGAUAUCAGGAGGAACACCGAUGGCGAAGGCAGGUCUCUGGGCCGAUACUGACGCUGAGGAGCGAAAGCGUGGGGAGCGAACAGG